UAGGCUGGACGGGCCGACGGUUCACCCGCUCCCGCGGGUGAGGCAAGAGGGAACCCGGUGUGAGUCCGGGACUGCCCCGCAGCGGUGAGUGGGAACGAAAGCCGUCAACGAAGCACUGGACGCGAGUCCGGGAAGCGACGGCCGGUAGGCGCGAGAGGUGUGCCCACGAGUCCGAAGACCUGCCGUCGGUGCGCGCGCCGC
rnacentral:ncRNA from 2 species